rnacentral:misc_RNA from 1 species
GUCUUUCCAUUCUCGCAAGCCGACCGAUCGAUGAUAGGAGGGCGCAGCGGGGGCAUUCGCGAAGAACAGCCUGCCCGCCCGCAUCCUCCGCAUCCGAAAGCACGCAGAGGCGCCGGGGUCCGCGUGCCCCCCCACCCAGCAGGGGGCAUGGACUCACGGCAACCAUCCCAACUGCCCGCCGCACAACUAUCCCGGAAGCACAAAAGGCUGUCGGGCAUGGGCGGCCGGGUGCAGACUUUCAAUCCACCCAAUGCCGAUACCCCGAAACGGGCACAAAGGUAGGCAGCACAGGCAACACGCAUACUUGGUCCACGAGGGGCGCUGGAGCGUCGACCUCAGGCCAAAAGUGGGACGGCGAAGUCCUCAGACGGUUGGCUGUAGGAA